UACAGAGGUCUCAAGCGUUGUUCGGAUUCAUUGGGCGUAAAGGGUGCGUAGGUGGCGGGGUUAGUCAGGUGUGAAAUCUCGGAGCUCAACUCCGAAACUGCACUUGAUACUGCCUUGCUAGAGUACUGGAGAGGAGAUUGGAAUUUACGGUGUAGCAGUGAAAUGCGUAGAUAUCGUAAGGAAGACCAGCGGCGAAGGCGAAUCUCUGGACAGUUACUGACACUGAGGCACGAAGGCCAGGGGAGCAAACGGG
rnacentral:rRNA from 1 species